rnacentral:rRNA from 1 species
CUUGGUCAUUUAGAGGAAGUAAAAGUCGUAACAAGGUUCCGUAGGUGAACCUGCGGAAGGAUCAUUAAUGAAUUAAAGUCGGUCUUCGUGCUGGUGGCAACACAUGUGCACGUUGAUCGCAAAUCCACACACCUGGCACCUUUGACUUUGGGAUCCGCUUGUGACUCGGCUUUGUGCCUGUCUGGUCCCAAAGUAAUUUUUACACACUCUGAAUGUAAUGGAAUGUAUCUGUGAUAAUGCGCAAAAAUACAACUUUCAACAACGGAUCUCUUGGCUCUCGCACGAUGAAGAACGCAGCGAAAUGCGAUAAGUAAUGUGAAUUGCAGAAUUCGUGAAUCAUCGAAUCUUUGAACGCACCUUGCACCCUUUGGUAAUCUGAAGGUACACCCGUCUGAGUGUCAUUGUAAUCUCACUCCACCGACUUUUUGUGAUGGAUGUGGACCUGGACUCUGUUGUGUUACUACAACUGGUCUGAAAUCAUGAGUGCACCCUGCUGUUGCAGCGUUUUCAGUGUGAUAAGCAUCUUCCUGGAUCAAGUUCCCUUGGGACACGUAUGCAUUGUGGGCUCUGUGCUGCAACCGUCUUUGGACAAGCUUGACAAUUUGACCUCAGAUCGGGUGGGACUCCCGCUGAACUUAAGCAUAUCAAUAAGCGGAGGAAAGGGCGAGUCAUUC